UUGCCAACCUCAGAGGCCGGGAGAGGCUGGAGCAGGCCUGGCUCAGAGGAAACACCCACCGACCAGACAAAGGGAGGAGAGAACAUACCGCAGAGAAGCAGAUGGAUGAGGAACACAAUGGGCCGUUGUAUGAGCAGAUGCUGCUGCCACCACUGCAGGCAACCCUCAGGCCACUCCUGCUCCACGGCCUGGUGACAGGGCUACACACUCUGAUCCAGGGACAAGCUGGGCCAAAUGGCCAGCAGAAGUGGACAUCUGCCUUCUGAGCCCCAAGGCGCUGGAGCCAAGGCGUGACACCGACAGAUGAAGAAACUGAGGACCUGAGAGGCGCCAGAUACCAUACUAAUGACCUUG